rnacentral:rRNA from 1 species
UACAGAGGUGGCAAGCGUUGUUCGGAAUUACUGGGCGUAAAGGGCGCGUAGGCGGCCUUCUAAGUCAGACGUGAAAUCCCCCGGCUUAACCUGGGAACUGCGUCUGAUACUGGGAGGCUUGAGUAUGGGAGAGGGAUGUAGAAUUCCAGGUGUAGCGGUGAAAUGCGUAGAUAUCUGGAGGAACACCGGUGGCGAAGGCGGCAUCCCGGACCAUGACUGACGCUGAGGAGCGAAAGCGUGGGGAUCAAACAGG